rnacentral:rRNA from 1 species
GACAGAGGUGCCGAGCGUUAUCCGGAAUCAUUGGGUUUAAAGGGUCCGUAGGCGGUUUAAUAAGUCAGUGGUGAAAGCCCAUCGCUCAACGGUGGAACGGCCAUUGAUACUGUUAGACUUGAAUUAUUAGGAAGUAACUAGAAUAUGUAGUGUAGCGGUGAAAUGCUUAGAGAUUACAUGGAAUACCAAUUGCGAAGGCAGGUUACUACUAAUGGAUUGACGCUGAUGGACGAAAGCGUGGGUAGCGAACAGG